rnacentral:piRNA from 1 species
UUGGGCUGUUCCUGUCAUUAUUCUAACAGGA